rnacentral:rRNA from 1 species
UGGGGAAUUUUGGACAAUGGGCGAAAGCCUGAUCCAGCAAUGCCGCGUGUGUGAAGAAGGCCUUCGGGUUGUAAAGCACUUUUGUCCGGAAAGAAAUCCUUGGCUCUAAUACAGUCGGGGGAUGACGGUACCGGAAGAAUAAGCACCGGCUAACUACGUGCCAGCAGCCGCGGUAAUACGUAGGGUGCAAGCGUUAAUCGGAAUUACUGGGCGUAAAGCGUGCGCAGGCGGUUUGCUAAGACCGAUGUGAAAUCCCCGGGCUCAACCUGGGAACUGCAUUGGUGACUGGCAGGCUAGAGUAUGGCAGAGGGGGGUAGAAUUCCACGUGUAGCAGUGAAAUGCGUAGAGAUGUGGAGGAAUACCGAUGGCGAAGGCAGCCCCCUGGGCCAAUACUGACGCUCAUGCACGAAAGCGUGGGGAGCAAACAGGAUUAGAUACCCUGGUAGUCCACGCCCUAAACGAUGUCAACUAGUUGUUGGGGAUUCAUUUCCUUAGUAACGUAGCUAACGCGUGAAGUUGACCGCCUGGGGGAGUACGGUCGCAAGAUUAAAACUCAAAUGAAUUGACGGGGUCA